GGGCUGCUCCUAGUGAUUGCUGGGCUGCUCCUAGUGACUGCCGGGCUGCUCCUAGUGACUGCCAGGUUGCUCUUAGUGACUGCCAGGUUGCUCCUAGUGACUGCCGGGCUGCUCCUAGUGACUGCCGGGCUGCUCCUAGUGACCAUUGGGCCGCGUCAACGCCCGGCCCAGACAACAUCCAUCGCACCACAUAGUGAACACUUGACGUCAUCAGUAGGAAGACAAGCCGUUGUUUUUUAAUACACCACCAAAGGGAGACACUGGAAUUUGUCAACAUAUAUAUUUGUAGUAAUCACUAAGUAUUACACUACUAUAAAUGCAGUAUUACAAAUGCUGUGUUUAUUGAAUAUAUUUUUUAAGGGAAUAAAGCACUAAACCGACAUAUGUUUUUUCUUAUUCAAAACACAUUACCAGGGUGCUGUUUUAACCCAUCCACUGCGAUUGGCAUGGAUUUGGCCUUCACUGGUAGCCUGGUAACAUACACGCCUGGGUCUUUCUCUGCCUCUGUGAUGGAUAGUGGAGUGUGAUGGAUAGUGGAGUGUUUCCCAUGUGGUAUUGGUGUGCUGGAUAUCCCCUCCCAUGGUGCAGGACUUUACAUUUUUCUUCAUUGAAUUGUAGCAGCCACUUUUUGUUCCAUUCCUGUAGCUUGGUGAGGUCUUCUUGUAGGAAAGCUGCAGUCAAGGGGUUAAACAUACAUUACUAGGUGCUGUUUUAAAUAUUUCAGUGGUAUCAUAGCAACCACUAAGGAACGUGCCAGAAGUAAUUCCUGUUGGUCAUAUCACUAACAAUUGUGCUCAAGAUUUGUCUAAAGGCAGGUAAAGGUUUUGACAUUUCCAGUAGCGUUCUUAGUGCCAAUCAGAUCGGUUUGUCAGUGCUCCACAAACUGUACCCCUCUUGCAAUGCUCUCACUGGGUGCAUUACUGGGCACUGAGCAUAUACUUGUCUAUCUCAUGUAGCUUUGGUCAAAUCAAGUAGACUUAUAAGAAUGGAACCAUUACUUUAAGGCAAAUGAAGGGUAACCUCGAGGUGAUGGAGAGGACUCCAGAAUAUGUCGAAGGUUAUGUAUACAAGGUGUUUGGGAAGGAGCCACACGUAGUUGUUAUAAGAUUGAAGAUGGCUGAGGAAUAUUGCAAAGAGGGAGAGAGGGAGAGAGGAGACACGAGAUGAAAGAGGAAGGGAAAGGAAGAAGGCGGAGGAAGGAACAGAUGAUGACAGGAAGAGUAGAGAAUGGGGAAUAUAUAACACGCCAACCAACAUAACUGGAGAGAGAUAACGAGUCACAAGGGAAGAGAAGGAGGAGGAGGAGGUAGUACGUGAUAGAAGAAGGGAAUGCAGAGGUUACUAUAGUUAAAAGAAGGAGGGAGGGAUGGAAGGUGAGGAGAAAGGGGAACAGGGCAAGGAUAGAAUGAGGAGGAGGAACUGGAAGAUAACUGAUAAAGAAGAGAAGGAGCGAAAGAGGGAGGAAGAGCAAGGGAAAGACAGAAAGAGAAGGAGGAAAUGGGAGAUAACUAGCGAUCAAAGAAGGAGGGAAAGGAAGGGGGAACAGGGGAAGGAGACAAAGAGGAGGAGGAGGAGGAGAUGGGAGGUAACUAGCAAUCAAAGAGAAGGGGGGAUAGGAGGAGGAGGAGGAGUGACCGAGCAUUGGUAGACAGACUUGCACCAUAUCAACUCGGGGCGUGGAGGUGCGAAGGCGUGUGGGUCCUUCAUCAGUGCUCAAAGAUCAGCUGAUUGCGUCUAGGCGGCCAGGUGACAGGAUCAGCUGAUUCCCUUACGCAUUACGCCUCAUUGACAACCCGCUGCCAGCCGUGCGUGUGACUCGACUCAGACUGAACGAGGAUGCAUCAACCCUUCGGGACACCACACUGCUGGCCUGGAUGGAGGGGCUCUGAAGGUGAUGGGAUGACCCUCACCACCAAACCGUCAGUUGAACGUCCGAGGUGCUCUGAAAGCGCUGGGACAACCUUCACCACCCAUCCGUCAGUUGAAUGUCUGAGGGGCUCUGAAGGCGCUGGGACAACCUUCACCACCCAUCUGUCAGUCGAAUGUCUGAGGGGCUCUGAAGGCUGUAGGAUGACCCUCACCACCCAGCCAUCAGUCAAAUGUCCGAGGGGCUCUGAAGGCGCUGAGACAACCUUCACCACCCAGCCAUCAGUCGAAUGUCCAAGGGGCUCUGAAGGCUGUAGGACGACCCUCGCCACCCAGCCGUCACUCGAGCCUCAGAAACAGACUGCAAGGAAGAAGACUGAUGUAUAGCCCCUCCUCAGUUAUUUAGGAUAUAUUACCACUAAUGAUUAUGAAUGAUAGAAAGUAUAGGAUGUUAAUUUACAGUCUAGUCUUUUCAUGCUUGCAGUUAACGUACAAGAAACAUGAUUAUGAUUUAGAUUGUUUUGCUACGGUACUGUUAUUGCUUUGAUUCACUUACUGCCCCAAAGUAAAUUUAUAAAGUUGACAGUAACUGCAUUUUAUAGAUUGUUAGUCUAGUCUUAUAUGCUUAAGAAGGUUUUAAUGAUUUAGACAAAGUUUUGCUACUGUUAUUGCUUUGAUUUAUUCACUUAUCUGCCCUACAGUAAAAAAUUUGUUAAGUUUACAGUAACUGCAUUUUAUAUAAUAGGUACUUAAGCAUCUAGUUUCAAACCUUCACAUAGCACAGGAUAGAGAUUCAAACCUUCACAUACAGCACAGGAUAGUCUAGUCCAUUCACCUCCGCUGCACUCCCCACAGCAAGAACUCCACCCCUAGCAAGGCAGGUGAGGACGCUACUGACUGGCUGUUGGUGGUGUGGUGCCUGAUGUGCGUCAGCCAACGCUCACUUUGGGUUCUGAAAAUAUUAAUGUUCCUUUACUUGGCUGUUACACAAAAUGGAAAAAUUCUGUUUGUUGGCCCUGUGGGAGCAAGCCGUCACAAAGGCUGUAAACUAUGCAGUGUUUGUACAGCUACCUUGUUUUAGUUGACAGUCACUGUGCUAGCCAAUGAUGUAAACAAAAUGGGCAUGUCUUGUGUAAUGGGUGACCUGUAAAGAGAUGAAAAUUAUAUGAACCUAAGCAUAAGUGUUGGGUGACAGGAGACGUCAGACACUGCGCCCACUAACAGCCAAGAAGCAGCGUCCUCACCUGCCCAGCUAGGAGCUUGGGAUCCAGCUGAAAUGAUGUGCCACAUUAUUAUAGUGAGGUCAUUAUUCAGGAUGUGUUCUCUAACCAUGUGACUGGAAUCCCGUAAUGUACAACCACUGAGCGCCUGGGAUUGAACCUGGGCCUUCUGAGUACAAGUCCGCCAGCAAACCAUUAAGCCACUGAUGAGAUUAAGGUCACAGCGCCAGAGUCCACUUCUGCAGCACACUACCUGAUGCCCCGGCCCCCACUCACACUUGUGGUAGCCGGAGACUGCUACUCAGAAGGCCCAGGUUCCAACAGCACUUGGUGGUGUUACAGUGCAACUUUAAACUGGGUAACUGCAAUUUCUGAUGUAAUAGUGUCUGUAAAAGGAAGAUUCUCAUAAUAAAACAUACUGAAGGAAGA